GACGGCCUUCGGGUUGUAAACCUCGGGCAGCAGGGAAGAAGCGCAAGUGACGGUACCUGCAGAAGAAGCGCCGGCUAACUACGUGCCAGCAGCCGCGGUAAUACGUAGGCCCCAAGCGUUGUCCGGAAUUAUUGGGCGUAAAGAGCUCGUAGGCGGCUUGUCACGUCGGAUGUGAAAGCCCGGGGCUUAAGGGGGGGUCUGCAUUCGAUACGGGCUAGCUAGAGUGUGGUAGCCCAGAUCGGAAUUCCUGGUGUAGCGGUGAAAUGCGCAGAUAUCAGGAGGAACACCGGUGGCGUUGGCGGAUCUCUGGGCCAUUACUGACGCUGAGGAGCGAAAGCGUGGGGAGCGAACAGGAUUAGAUACCCUGGUAGUCCACGCCGUAAACGUUGGGAACUAGGUGUUGGCGACAUUCCACGUCGUCGGUGCCGCAGCUAACGCAUUAAGUUGGGGGCCUGGGGAGUACGGCCGCAAGGCUAAAACUCAAAGGAAU
rnacentral:rRNA from 1 species